UCCAGCUUCAAAUAAAGGUUCAGCUUGAUCCAGGCUUCAAACCACCCAGUUCUGGAGUGGCAAGGACAACAGACAACAGCUGGAGCUCUGAUUUGACGUGGGAAGAAUAAAGUUGGCGUGUGGUCAAGAUUGGAACAGGGUGUCCAAGGUGGAAUUAGCGUCCCUGGAAGUGUUCAAAAAGGUUAGACUGGAUGAUUCCUGAGCUCUCUUCCAGCCUGGAAUUCUGUGAUUCUCUGACCUCCUGAAAACACCAUUUGGAGAAGCCAUUCACCAUGAGGAGCCAAGCCCAGCCAGAUUCCCUCCGCCUGCGCUCCGCCGGUGUCUGCCUCGGCUUCCAGCUCCAUCAUCACAUCCAACAGAGCCUGGGGCAAAGCUGGAGCAAAACACCCAGCGCAUUCAAUUUACAAACAGAAAUAAACACCUUUUCGGCAGGUUCUACAUAAUCACUAAACAAAACCAGGGGAGACA